UACAGAGGGGGCAAGCGUUGUUCGGAAUUACUGGGCGUAAAGGGCGCGUAGGCGGCCGCCUAAGUCAGACGUGAAAUCCCUCGGCUCAACCGGGGAACUGCGUCUGAUACUGGGUGGCUUGAAUCCGGGAGAGGGAUGCGGAAUUCCAGGUGUAGCGGUGAAAUGCGUAGAUAUCUGGAGGAACACCGAUGGCGAAGGCAACCACCUGGGCCUGCACUGACGCUGAGGUACGAAAGCGUGGGGAGCGAACAGG
rnacentral:rRNA from 1 species